GCAGCAGCACAACCAGAGAAAAAGGAGAAGCGACAGGGCGGGCAGCAGCGUCUCCUCCCCCCGCCCUCAUCCCUAUUGCCGCCGCCGGGUCCUCUCCUCUCCCUAUCGGUGCGAGUGGGCGGGUCGCGGCUUGCGGAGAGCGAGGAGAUGAAGGAGACAGAUGCGUGAGGAGGAGGAGGCCACGGCCAUCGGCUCCUCUCCUCUCCUCGUCGGCGCCCUCAUCCCUAUUGCCGCCGCCGGGUCCUCUCCUCUCCCUAUCGGUGCGAGUGGGCGGGUCGCGGCUUGCGGAGAGCGAGGAGAGGGCGGAGAUAGAUGCGUGAGGAGGAGGAGGCCACGGCCGUCGGCUCCUCUCCUCUCCCCGUCGGCGCCAGCGCGCUGGUCGCGGGGAGUGAGGAGAGCGAGGAGAGGGAGGGGGAAGAUGCGUGAGGAGGAGGACCAGGCGGUGGCGCGGCAGCCAGAUCCGAGGCGCGUGGGCGCGGAGGCAGCCGCGGUGGGCUCCGGCCUCUUCUUCACGCACGGCGGCAGGAGCAGCUCCACCUCUCCACUCCCCCACGCGUGAGCCCUCCACAACCCCACCCACCACAUCGAGGCGGCAUCCAGAGGCCGUCGGCGGUGGCCCAGGUUCUGAUAGAUGAGUGAUGACUAAUGGUUGAUGCAAAGGAGGAGGCGUACUGAUGGAAGUUGGCAGCAAAAUCAGGUGUACUACAACGCAGUAAACUGGUCGUGUACAUUUCUCAAUUUUCCAUAGGACCUCUCCGUCCUCGAGCCCUUCUUCUCCUCUCUCCGCGCCGUCUCGCCUCCCCUGCUCUUGCACCGCCACCUUCCCUGCCCGGCGCUCGAGGCGCCAUGAUUUUGGAUCGGGCGGAUAUCUUCACCAGGAGAGUAGGAGCACUUGCUGUUAAUAUGAACGAUCUCUCACUAAGUUUUUGUUAUGGCGUUGUGUGCCGAUUCAUAAUUUAAACACGCAAAAUGUCUGGUUUGCAUAUUUGUGCCUAGCCCUGUUACCAGCAGUGUAUUUUUUGCCGUAAGAAUGACAACAAUGCUUUAUUUCUUUGACUUUUUGACCGUGUCUAAUUUCUGGUAAAAGAGAGGAAUUUCAGAGAGAUAGACAACCUGAAGAGCUUUGAAUGGUUGUUCGAGUGUGCCGCCAGCCUCCUCGCCGUUGCUGUUGCGUAGCUGGCACCGGUGUGUGGCUACUGCCGAGAUAAGCGCAGUUUACUCCAGGUUUGGUGAUGGUGUUGAACAACACCUUAACUGGGCCAAGGAAUUUAGUAGCAUUGUGGGAUCAUAAACCAGUUUUUCUGUUCUCUGUGCUCACAUAGUAAGAACAUGCUUGCAAGUUCUUUUCCUUAGGUGUAAUUUCUUUUGCUGAGAUAGAUUAAGCCUGGGUCGAGGUGGCUGCUGUGUGCCGGUUGCCAGUACUUGUUUGUUGUAAUGUCUUACCCAGUGAGAUUUCUUUUAUUCUUGCCUAUUUUCAGAGGUUCUGCUUGAAGAUUCUCUAAUCACUUUCUUUGGAACUUUUUGCUGAGAUAUGCUUCCAGGUUACUUCAAUGUUACCAGACUUAAAAUGUACUAUCUAGCAUACUAGCACGUGUGUAUAUGAUGCCUCCUUUUAUCCUUGAAUGUAAGACACAUGGUGUUUUGUUCCAUUGUUAUGCUUAACGGAAGUGAUGUUCUAUUAUCAUAUUCAAAACUAUAGCUCUUUGUUUGCAGUAUCUCGGAGGGAGCAAUAUUUUGAUACUUGCUUUAUAGGAAUUCUCUUUCUUUGCCUAGAAUUUGUGAUUUAUGGCUGAUGUCAAUUCCACCUUUGUAGGUGUUUCUCAAUUAUUACUAAUGUUGAAACUGCAGAGGAGCAGGAGAUGAGGAGGGCCCCACUUGGUGUACAAUGGUGAAUGAUGCGGCAGUUAGACCGGGAGAUGAGGAGCGCGGCACUGGGUGUACGAAGGUUUAGUAGGAAGAAUGUUAAUCACAGUGGGUGAAAAGAAAAUGCGAGCUCGGCUGAUUGCAUACUAUUUGGUUGAGUUGUUUUGUCCUAAAGAUACAAUCAAGCUGAAGAUUUCUUUUGUAUGGAAAUUCACCAUGGGAAUCGAAAUAAUGGUACUCUGCACAGCCUUUACUUUCUUGCAUCGAUUCUUCAUUCUACAAGUCACACCUUUUCUAUUUGGUAAAAGAAGAGUGAGCUCAUGCUUGAACUUCCACUAUAUAUGUUAACACUUGAAUACUGUAUCAAUCCAGUAAUCAUCUGAUCCUUCAUUGUUUUCCCUUGCAUUGCCUCCUUUAACUCUUCUGGACCUUUGAAAAGAAUGAUUUUUCGAUUAUAUAAUGUAUUAUGUUUUGUUUCGUUGUCGAGAGGUAGAUGGUAAAGUAGGCUGAUAUUUUCAUUUUGUUCAUAUGCAGAUAUUUGAUAUAAGUGAAUAUAUACCCUUUGGUAGGUGAAUGUGCUCUCCGUUAAUAUCACUGAUAUAUUUGAGCUUCAGAGAAGGAUAUCUAUGCCAUUUUGUUUUUGUUUUUUGAACAAAAGAGUGUUGUAUGUGUAUCGUUAAAGGGAUGAAGCAGCAAAGUUACCUACGCAAUUUAGCAGGAUGUGGCUGAUACAUAUGGUUUACUUAGGUUUGGUGUUACUGCUAUCUCUUUCGUUGUAAAACUGCAGAGCAGCAGAGUUUAUAGAUUUAUCGACCAUGCUUUUAGUGCCAGUAGUUUUGUAUGUAAGAUGUAGCUGUUGUGCAGCUCCAUGUGUCUGUGUGAUCUGAUGUAUAGAUAUAACAUAACAUUCUAAAAUUUAUAGUUAUUCUCUAUAUAUGAGAAAGCAUGAAAGAACUGUGUAUUAGGGGUAAAUAAUCUUUUCUGCUGUUUCAUAAAACAGUUAGGCGGCUACCCUGUCAUAUAUUUUGAUUCUCCUUUGACGAAAUUCCUAUCCUUGAAUGCCAUUUUCUCCAUGGUUUUUAUGUUUUAUGUUGUUCACUACAUGAUACUGAAUUAACAGUUACACGAAAGUUUAGCGAACACUUUUCUAAGAGAAGCCUCUUCCCGCACAUGGAUGCUGAUCAUGAUGAGCUACCAAUCAGUACAGGAGAUGGGACCACCAGUGUCAUGACCCUCUUUAUCAAGGGCGUCGACAACAUGGCUACACUCACAAUGAACUAGAGCAGCUUCUUCCAUAAGGCAAACAUGAAGAAAGGGUGUACAUAUGCUUUCACCUUCAAGUGCACGUCCAAGGGCCUUUGCAUGAUUGUCUAUCCAAUCUAAGCAGGUCACAGUAGUCCUUUGCUACGUAACUUGGUAUUACUAUAAGUACCUAUUGAGACUUUUAUAUCUGGCAUCAUUUUGGAUCUUAUGUAAAAAAAUUAUGAUAAUCCUGUCCGUAUGACUAUUAUCAAUCCAUAUUAAUUUUUAUAUA